rnacentral:tRNA from 1 species
GCGGAGGUAGCAAAGUCUGGCCAAAUGCGAUAGACUCAAGAUCUAUUCCCUUAGUGGGUUCGCAGGUUCGAAUCCUGCCCUCCGCA